UACAGAGGGUGCGAGCGUUAAUCGGAAUUACUGGGCGUAAAGCGCACGUAGGCGGCUUGGUAUGUCGGGUGUGAAAUCCCCGGGCUCAACCUGGGAACUGCAUCCGAAACUGCCUUGCUAGAGUAUGGGAGAGGGAAGUGGAAUUUCCGGUGUAGCGGUGAAAUGCGUAGAUAUCGGAAGGAACACCAGUGGCGAAGGCGACUUCCUGGACCAAUACUGACGCUCAGGUGCGAAAGCGUGGGGAGCAAACAGG
rnacentral:rRNA from 1 species